GACGAACGCUGGCGGCGUGCUUAACACAUGCAAGUCGAACGGAAAGGCCCUGCUUUUGUGGGGUGCUCGAGUGGCGAACGGGUGAGUAACACGUGAGUAACCUGCCCUUGACUUUGGGAUAACUUCAGGAAACUGGGGCUACUACCGGAUAGGAGCUCCUGCUGCAUGGUGGGGGUUGGAAAGUUUCGGCGGUUGGGGAUGGACUCGCGGCUUAUCAGCUUGUUGGUGGGGUAGUGGCUUACCAAGGCUUUGACGGGUCGCCGGCCUGAGAGGGUGACCGGCCACAUUGGGACUGAGAUACGGCCCAGACUCCUACGGGAGGCAGCAGUGGGGAAUAUUGCACAAUGGGCGGAAGCCUGAUGCAGCAACGCCGCGUGCGGGAUGACGGCCUGCGGGGUGUAAACCGCUUUCGCCUGUGACGAAGCGUGAGUGACGGUAAUGGGUAAAGAAGCACCGGCUAACUACGUG
rnacentral:rRNA from 1 species